UACGUAGGGCGCAAGCGUUGUCCGGAAUUAUUGGGCGUAAAGAGCUCGUAGGCGGUCUGUUACGUCCGCUGUGAAAACCCAGGGCUUAACCUCGAGCUGUCGGCGGAAACCAUCUGGCUAGAGUCCGGAAGAGGAGAAUGGAAUUCCCGGUGUAGCGGUGAAAUGCGCAGAUAUCGGGAAGAACACCCGUGGCGAAGGCGGUUCUCUGGGACGGUACUGACGCUGAGACGCGAAAGCGUGGGGAGCGAACAGG
rnacentral:rRNA from 1 species